GGCGCUGUGGUGCAAUGGGUUAACACCCUGGCCUGCAGUGCCAGCAUCCCAUAUGUGUGCUGGUUCGAGACCUGGCAGCUCCA
rnacentral:tRNA from 1 species